AUUGAACGCUGGCGGCAGGCCUAACACAUGCAAGUCGAGCGAGCGGCGGACGGGUGCGUAAUGUAUGGGGACUGCCCGAUAGGGGGGGAUAACUACUGGAAACGGUGGCUAAUACCGCCUACUAUCGGAUACCCCAUAUGGGAUUAGCUAGUAGGUGGGGUAAAGGCUCACCUAGGCGACGGACUCUCGCUGGUCUGAGAGGAUGAUCAGCCACACUGGUACUGAGACACGGCCCAGACUCCUACGGAGGCAGCAGUUGUGAAUGUAGCACAGUGUGCGCAAGCCUGACACAGCCAUGGCGCGUGUAUGAAGAAGGCCGUAGGGGUUUAAAGUACUUUCAGCGGGGAGGCGUGGCCCGCAGAAGAAGCACCGGCUAACUCCGUGCCAGCAGCCGCGGUAAUUC
rnacentral:rRNA from 1 species